UGUAAACGAUGCAGACUCGGUGAUGCCCUGGCUUGUGGCCAGUGCAGUGCCGCAGGAAGCCGUUAAGUUUGCCGCCUGGGAAGUACGUACGCAAGUAUGAAACUUAAAGGAAUUGGCGGGGGAGCACCACAAGGGGUGAAGCCUGCGGUUCAAUUGGAGUCAACGCCAGAAAUCUUACCCGAAGAGACAGCAGAAUGAAGGUCAAGCUGGAGACUUUACCAGACAAGCUGAGAAGUGGUGCAUGGCCGUCGUCAGCUCGUGCCGUGAGAUGUCCUGUUAAGUCAGGUAACGAGCGAGAUCCCUGCCUCUAGUUGCCACCAUUACUCUCAGGAGUAGUGGGGCGAAUUAGCGGGACCGCCGCAGUUAAUGCGGAGGAAGGAAGGGGCCACGGCAGGUCAGUAUGCCCUGAAACUUUGGGGCCACACGCGGGCUGCAAUGGUAGCGACAAUGGGUUCCGAAUCCGAAAGGAGGAGGCAAUCCUCAAACGCUACCACAGUUAUGAUUGAGGGCUGCAACUCGCCCUCAUGAAUAUGGAAUCCCUAGUAACUGCGUGUCAUUACCGCGCAGUGAAUACGUCCCUGCUCCUUGCACACACCGCCCGUCGUUUCAUUGAAGUUUGCUUUUAGCGAGGUGAUGUCUCAUUGGCGUCAUCGAACUUGA
rnacentral:rRNA from 1 species